rnacentral:rRNA from 1 species
GACGAACGCUGGCGGCGUGCUUAACACAUGCAAGUCGAACGGAAAGGCCCUGCCUUUGUGGGGUGCUCGAGUGGCGAACGGGUGAGUAACACGUGAGCAACCUGCCCCUGACUUUGGGAUAACUUCAGGAAACGGGGGCUAAUACCGGAUAGGAGAUCCGGCCGCAUGGGGGGGGUUGGAAAGUUUCGGCGGUUGGGGAUGGACUCGCGGCUUAUCAGCUUGUUGGUGGGGUAGUGGCUUACCAAGGCUUUGACGGGUAGCCGGCCUGAGAGGGUGACCGGCCACAUUGGGACUGAGAUACGGCCCAGACUCCUACGGGAGGCAGCAGUGGGGAAUAUUGCACAAUGGGCGGAAGCCUGAUGCAGCAACGCCGCGUGCGGGAUGACGGCCUUCGGGUUGUAAACCGCUUUCGCCUGUGACGAAGCGUGAGUGACGGUAAUGGGUGAAGAAGCACCGGCUAACUACGUG